UACGUAGGGAGCGAGCGUUGUCCGGAUUUACUGGGUGUAAAGGGUGCGUAGGCUGCUAUGCAAGUCAGUAGUGAAAUCCAUGGGCUUAACCCAUGAACUGCUAUUGAAACUGCACAGCUUGAGUGAAGUAGAGGUAGGCGGAAUUCCCGGUGUAGCGGUGAAAUGCGUAGAGAUCGGGAGGAACACCAGUGGCGAAGGCGGCCUACUGGGCUUUAACUGACGCUGAGGCACGAAAGCGUGGGUAGCAAACAGG
rnacentral:rRNA from 1 species